rnacentral:lncRNA from 1 species
UUUCUUGGAGAAUUAUUGAGCUUAUGGAUCACGAAUAUAGGAAAAAUAAUCAAGUGCAUUAUCUCUUACAACCUUUUGAGUUGAGUAAAAAAAAUAUUGAGUCUUCUUUUAAUAGUCCAAAAUAAUCAAAGCAUCAAGCAAAGUUGAUAGUCAUUCAUUCCAAAUUUGAAGGUACUAGGAAAUGGCAUCGUUAGUUGAAUAAAGCAUGAUAAUGAUUUAAGUAAGUACUCAAAAUUUAGGUCGUAGAAAAUGGGGAAGGAAUCCAAAUUGCAACACUUCAAUUUGUCGUUAUGCUAAGAAGAAUUUGUCAAUAAUAGAGAGUAGAGAGGAAAAAGAUUCCAUUAUUUUCUAUUGUAACACACACAAUAGGAUAUUUUUUUACUAUAUAAAUCGAAUAAAGCAUAAUACAAAGAAAGAAGAAAAACCUAGUAUUAGAUAACUAGUUUUAGUGGGAAAAAUAGAUCACAAGUUGUUAUUUAACUUUUCCGUAGGAACUUUAAACAAUAAAUGAAUAGUUAAUCAAUUUAAAACCUAGUACUACUAUUUUGGACUAAACAAUUAGUUUGAAAAUUCCCUCUUUUUAAAAUUAAUUUUUUUUUUAUAAGAUGUGUUGCAAUAUUUCCCUACAACAAGACUGCAUAUUUAAAUUCUCUAUAAAACAAAGGCUGCAUAUAAUUGGUAUAAUAUAAUAAUUAUUGCAUAUAAGGUUGGUUUCAUGGAAGAUGGAGAAGUUAAUGAGUUAGAUGAUUUUUUGAUACAAAAAGAGUUAGGUGAUAAGAAGGUCAAAUGUUAAAUCAUCACUUUGUCAUGUAUUUUUUUUUUAACAAUACCCGUUAAAAAAAUGGUAUGCAAUAAAACAUAUUUCGACUUAAACAAUCAAUAUAACUGAAGUUGCACCCUUUUAUAGAGUCUGCAAACUUUUCUCCUUCUGUUAAAAAAUACGUCUGUUAUAUUUUUUUUAAUAUUAACCAACAAGUUUUUUUUCAUAGUAAUUUCAAACAAGUUCUAAAUUUAAGAAAAAAAAAAUAGAAAAAGAGAGAGUUUGCAUUUAUCUUAUUCAUUCAUGUUGUUUGCUCGACAUCAUGGUAUGGAUCUGGAAUGCAAUAAUAAUUGGCUGUAUUAUAUAAUAAAAUCAUAUGUAUAAGGUUAUGUGGCGUAGGAAGACGCAUGUGGUGGAGUCACUGAAAAUGACUAUAGUUUAUAAAUUUAUUAAACAAUAAUCAUAUAAUUAUUUUUCUUAAUAUGACCCAUUGAAACGUAGCCCAAAUAUAAUGUUUUUCUUAACCCUCGUUCUCUUUAUUUUUUAUU